UACGAAGGGGGCUAGCGUUGUUCGGAUUUACUGGGCGUAAAGCGUGCGUAGGCGGUUUGCCGUGUCCUGUGUGAAAGCCCCGGGCUCAACCUGGGAAUUGCAUGGGAAACUGGCAGGCUUGAGUGUGGCAGAGGAGGGUGGAAUUCCGCGUGUAGCAGUGAAAUGCGCAGAUAUCAGGAGGAACACCAAUUGCGAAGGCAGCUCGCUGGGACGUUACUGACGCUGAGACGCGAAAGCGUGGGGAGCAAACAGG
rnacentral:rRNA from 1 species